GCCUACGGGGCGCAGCAGUGGGGAAUUUUGGACAAUGGGCGCAAGCCUGAUCCAGCUAUUCCGCGUGUGGGAUGACGGCCCUCGGGUUGUAAACCACUUUAGUAGAGAACGAAAAGGAGCUAUCGAAUAAAUAGCUCUGCUGACGGUACUCUAAGAAUAAGCACCGGCUAACUACGUGCCAGCAGCCGCGGUAAUACGUAGGGAGCAAGCGUUAUCCGGAUUUAUUGGGUGUAAAGGGUGCGUAGACGGGUAUAUAAGUUAGUUGUGAAAUCCCUCGGCUCAACUGAGGAACUGCAACUAAAACU
rnacentral:rRNA from 1 species